rnacentral:rRNA from 1 species
GCCUAAUACACGCAUGUCGAACGAAGCACUUGUGCUUAGUGGCAAAUGGGUGAGUAACACGUACUUAAUCUACCCCCAAGUUUGGGAUAACAGUUGGAAACAAUUGCUAAUACCAAAUACAUAUAAGUUUUGCAUAAUUCUUAUAUAAAAGGAGCGUUUGUUUCGCUAGGGGAUGAGAGUGCGCUACAUUAGUUAGUUGGUAGGGUAAGAGCCUACCAAGACUAUGAUGUAUAGCGGGGCUGAGAAGCUGAACCGCCACACUGGGACUGAGAUACGGCCCAGACUCCUACGGGAGGCAGCAGUAGGGAAUAUUCCACAAUGAGCGAAAGCUUGAUGGAGCAACACAGCGUGCAGGAAGACGACCUUAGGGUUGUAAACUGCUGUUAUGAGGGAAGAAAAAUAAAAUUAGGAAAUGAAUUUUACAUGACGGUACCUCAUCAGAAAGCACCGGCAAACUAUGUGCCAGCAGCCGCGGUAAUACAUAGGGUGCAAGCGUUAUCCGGAAUUAUUGGGCGUAAAGUGUCUGUAGGCGGU